GCGCAGAGCUGCACAGGGCAGGGCUAGGAGGACAUUUCCAGGGCAGGCUCCCUGCCUUGCCUCUUGCAGGGGAAAUCUAAGAUGGUCAAAGGAAAGGAAUCCAACGGUUUUGCCCAGGCUUGUUUAGCAAAGCUCUUGCAGCUGGAGCUGUUUAUUAUUGCAGCUAGGAAGAUGCUCUUCCAAACACACUUCCCAAGCUGAGAGAGCUGAAAUAAUCUAUCCUAUUUCUUCAGAGCCUGCAGGGUCUGUGCCUCAGAAAGGGGUUUCUGUUAAAAGAGGAACAUUCUUGAGCAUGGUUAUUCUUCCCCAGCUCCUCAAGAAGAGGCAUCCCCCAGAUUUAGUUUGCAGAUAUCUUUCCCAACUCUUACCUCCCAUGCGCACUUUCGAUAAAACAGCUUGGAUACCGCUUCUUGGAAUGAUGAUACUGAUGUUGCAUCUUCCUUCACCAGCUUUGAGCUUUGGAGAUCGCAGCAGAGGUAGUUACUGGAAGACAAUCUCAGGCCCACAUUGAUCAUGGAAGUCUAGCUUUUAAAGAUAAGUGAGCCAACCAAGCUGUAAGGCUAAUCACCCUGUGCAAGUAUGAAUUUAUCUAAAGAGGAUUUCAUGUGGAACCCCCGGAGCCGGCCGCCAAACGGAUGACUGCACACUUUAAGAAAGUUCGUGGGACUUCUCCCAAUCAACUGUCAGGCCACAUAAAGGGUCUGGAACGCGCUGACUUAAGCAAAUAAUAUUUAGCCAUCUAAGGAUACCGUAAGGCCCAAGAUUUUGCUUUGUUGGCGCUGACAGGAAAUAUUGAUACAUAUCAAGUAACACUCCUGAUGCAAAAAGCGAUAUGUGUCUCCUUUCGGCACUAUCUCUGUUUAGGAAACACCUUGCUUUAAAAGAAAGCACAGGUGGGGGCAGGGACAAUGUCAAACCCAGCACUUCACUGGGUUUUCCAGCUUUCCUGGGAUCACAAUUUCAUGAAAAUAGGAACUAAGCAAAAGUCGUCUCCUUUUUGAAAAAAACCAAAUGUAUUGGAAUUUGAAUUUGCAAACUCUCAGAAUGUCUAGCUGACAAGUGAACCCUGCCCAUAACCCCAAAACUAUUCCUUAAGUUUAUUAACCUAGGAAACCUGCCACUGAUUAGGUUUGGGUGUGUUUCUCAGCUUUUACAAUAGUCUAAACUAUAUUACAACUAUGUGGUUACAGGGCCUAAAAAGUAAAUUGAAAUAUGUGGCUAUUAAGUCGCAAAUCCCCUCAAUAGGACAUGUGAGUCAAAACUCAAUUUUUUGUGAGAAGUAAUGUCUGUAAUCCUAUUGACUCAUCAUUUUUAGACAUUUGUGGCUUUAAUUACAGGGGAAAAACUGUAAUGUCCUGUCUUGGGAAAAUUUGAUAGGGAACAUCGGGCUGUUACCAUAGAAUAAAGGUUGCGUUGGAGGAUUUAAUUUAAAAAGGAAAAAGAAAGAACCCUAUUUUAUCAGAAUACUCUAAACAUUCUCCAUCAGUAACGUUGUGCCUGAGGUGAUAUCCUUGAAGAUGCUGGAGGUGGCGGUGUUAAUGAAAU
rnacentral:lncRNA from 1 species